AGCUGCCGGUUAUUCCUUCUCUAAUCGUCGUUCAUCUGUUAGAUUCUCUCAGUUUAAAGGCCUUAAGAUCCAGUCAACUCGAUCAUCCAUAUCCACUACCUCUUCAUCCAAAAUCGUUCCCCGUGGUGGACGCAUCGUUUGCGAAGCUCAGAAUACCGCCGUCGAAGGUAUUUUAUAAGCACUAAGUAGUGUAUUUGUUAUUGAAAUACUCUGUUCAUUCACUUUUACUUGUUAUAUUUAACUUUUCGAGAUAUAUUUUGAGAUAUACUUUUAAUGACAUAAUACAAUAAAUGUGCCAAUUUACUUGACCUCAACUGGCAUCUCUGCCUUUUAACUUUGGAUGUGCACAAAUAAACACUUAAAACUGUUAGUUCUCUCAGUUUAAAGUCCUUAAGAUCCGGUCUACUCGCUCAUCCGUAUCCACUACCUCUUCCUCCAAAAUCAUUCCCCGUGGUGGACGCAUCGUUUGCGAAGCUUAGAAUACCGCCGUCGAAGGUAUUUUAUAGGUAACUAAGUAGUAUUUGUUACUUCUGUUAUGUUGAGAGGAAGAGUAAUACUCUGUUCAUUUAUUUGUUACUUAUUACAUCUCGCUUUUCGAGAGUUAAAUGGAAUGAACUUUGAUCAAUAUGUUAAGAUAUAAUACAAUAAACGUGCCAAUUUACUUGACCUCAACUGACGUCUACGCCUUUUAACUUUGGAUGUGCACAAAUAAACACUUAAAACUGUUAGAUUCUCUCAGUUUAAAGGCCUUAAGAUCCGGUCUACUCGCUCAUCCGUAUCCACUACCUCUUCCUCCAAAAUCAUUCCCCAUGGUGGACGCAUCGUUUGCGAAGCUUAGAAUACCGCCGUCAAAGGUAUUUUAUAGGUAACUAAGUAGUAUUUGUUACUUCUGUCAUGUUGAGAGGAGUAAUACUGUGUUCAUUCACUUUUACU
rnacentral:lncRNA from 1 species